rnacentral:tRNA from 1 species
GGGGAUUUGGCUCAGCGGUAGAGCGCUUGCCUAGCAAGUGCAAGGCCCUGGGUUCAGUCCCCA